rnacentral:rRNA from 1 species
UACAGAGGUCGCAAGCGUUGUUCGGAUUCAUUGGGCGUAAAGGGUGUGUAGGCGGCUAGUUAAGUCAGAUGUGAAAUCCCGGGGCUUAACCCCGGAACUGCAUUUGAUACUGCUUUGCUUGAGGACUGGAGAGGAGAUCGGAAUUCACGGUGUAGCAGUGAAAUGCGUAGAUAUCGUGAGGAAGGCCAGUGGCGAAGGCGGAUCUCUGGGCCGUUCCUGACGCUGAGACACGAAGGUCAGGGGAGCAAACGGG